AAUAAGUUUUUUUUUCAGUUUUUAAAUAUAAUGUUGACUCUUUAUCUCAUUUGAAUUUUUUUGCGAUUAAUAUUUUUAUUGUCAUUAGAUGGUAAAAUAUAAAUAGUACUUUAUGUGUGACUAAUUUUUUUAAGUUUUUUUGAAAAUUUUCAAACAAAACGGAUGGUCAACAUUAGAUAAAAAAUC
rnacentral:pre_miRNA from 1 species